rnacentral:tRNA from 1 species
GGGAAGUUAGCUCAGUUGGUUCAGAGCAUCGCCUUGACAGGGCGGGGGUCGCUGGUUCGAGUCCAGUACUUCCCA